rnacentral:lncRNA from 1 species
AUCAUUCAUUCAUUCAUUUCUCAUACUGAAAUAAAUAAUGCUUAAUCUUUUCAGUUUAGAGUGAGUCUAUCCACUUAUGCACUUGCAGAACUGCAAUGGCUGGUCCAAAUGGCAUCACCUUUUGUAUUUUUUGUUUUGGCCUUGCAGUGUACUGGGAUCCAUACUGAUGAUAAUGGGCCUCUAUAUUCUGCUGUGGGGAAAGAGCAGGGAUGCCUCGGCGACAGUACCACCUGCCAAAGAGGAAGAGGAUAAGGAGAAGCAAAUCAAAUCAUGAGGACCAAAGCUAUGCAAUUCUUAGGUUGAAAAACUAUGGCAUAUAUUCCUCCUUAGUUUCCUACGCCUACGUAGUUUAACCAAGAGGAAUGGUAUACAGUACUGUUAGUAAUGCAGUUGUCGUAUGCGUUUUCGCUCGCACAACGAGACGAUACGUCGGGCUAAUUUCUGCCUAAAUGUAGCCCAAAUUCUUCAGGUGAUAAAGAGCGGUGGGCAUAGGUUGCCCAUAUCUCAGUACGUUAGAAGGUCACAUCUGUCACACUGAGCAUGAAAAGAAAUAAAAGAAAAGAAAAGAAAGUAUUCUCCGCACGAUUUUUGUACGACCACCCCACGGUCCUGUGGGGGCGGCUAUAUCGAAUCAAUGCUUUGCGAUUUGAUUUGGACUUAAAGAAACGGUUUGCUCAUCAAAGAAGAGACAGUGGGCAUUGGAUCUUCGAACUUUCUCAUGGGAAGGCAUUCCCCUAAAUUGGUCCUUGUAGGUCCUAAAACGGGCUCAUGCCAAAAUUUUCAGUGCUAAAACAGCAUCCAAUGCCCUACAGUGUAGAAGGCCAUGCAGGAAGGAUCACAAGCUAUAUUUUGCUUGCCAGAAAUUGGAAAAAAGAGGGGCAGAGCCUUACUUUGUUCCUUCACACUGUGCAAUAAAGAGGCAGCUAUUCGAUUCAGCUGGGUGCGCAAUUUGCUCGAUGCGGCAAAUUUUCCACAAUUAUUCAGACAUUAAGAGAACAAACGAUGUGCUCCUCUCCCCCGGGCCAUGUUUUAGCUCUCAGUCACGUGUGCGAAAACGAAACCGCGAGUCGGAGACAUGGCUUCGGAUGCCAUUUUCCGGACCUUCGCCUGUCACCACCCCUAUAAAAACCAUG